AUUGAACGCUGGCGGCAUGCCUUACACAUGCAAGUCGAACGGCAGCGCGGGAGCAAUCCUGGCGGCGAGUGGCGAACGGGUGAGUAAUAUAUCGGAACGUGCCCUAGAGUGGGGGAUAACUAGUCGAAAGAUUAGCUAAUACCCCAUACGAUCUACGGAUGCAAGUGGGGGAUCGCAAGACCUCAUGCUCGUGGAGCGGCCGAUAUCUGAUUAGCUAGUUGGUAGGGUAAAAGCCUACCAAGGCCACGAUCAGUAGCUGGUCUGAGAGGACGCGCAACCACGCUGGGACUAGGACACGGCCCAGACUCCUACGUGAAGCAGCAGUGGGGAAUUUUGGACAAUGGGGGAAACCCAGAUCCAGCAAUGCCAAGUGUGUGAAGAAGGCCUUCGGGUUGUAAAGCACUUUUGUCCGGAACGAAACGGGCCGAGCUAAUAUCUUGGCCUAAUGACGGUACCGGAAGAAUAAGCACCGGCUAACUACGUGCCAGCAGCCGCUGUAA
rnacentral:rRNA from 1 species